GUUGUAUCGGUUCGAUCGGGAUACUCAUCAAAUUACAUUGAAAACUGAGACGUAUCUCUUGCCAAUGGCGGGCCACAUAAAUCGCCUUUGCGACUAAGCUUCAAGCCGGUGGAUUACAAAGACGGAGAGCGCUCACAACUUUUAUAGCUGGAGUUUUCAUCACAUCAUCGGUAUGAU
rnacentral:sRNA from 1 species